UUAUCAUCCCUCCACCUCCAGUGAGGCUGGUGAAAAACAUGAGCUUCGAGUAUUCCCGCGACAGGCUGAAGUGCACUUGGGAUUCUGAUGUUGAUGUCCCAGACCUUGGUUUUUAUUACUGGUUAUCUCAGAAAAAAAUGGUAAAAAAGUGCAACGAGAUGAAGACUGGAGAAUGCGUCAUCAACGAUACAUUUCACAACGAAGAAAUGUUCUACCUGUUCAAUGGCACUUAUAAGGGUCAACCUGUAAACAACACAUUCAAGAAUAAGAGUGUAAUGCAUUCCGGUAAAC